rnacentral:rRNA from 1 species
UACGUAGGUGGCAAGCGUUGUCCGGAUUUACUGGGUGUAAAGGGCGUGCAGCCGGGAAUGCAAGUCAGAUGUGAAAUCCCGCGGCUCAACCGCGGAACUGCAUUUGGAACUGUGUUUCUUGAGUACUGGAGAGGCAGACGGAAUUCCUAGUGUAGCGGUGAAAUGCGUAGAUAUUAGGAGGAACACCAGUGGCGAAAGCGGCUCUCUGGCCUGUAACUGACACUGAGGCUCGAAAGCGUGGGGAGCAAACAGG